GACGGUUGCCCAGAGCAAGGCCCAUGUAGCAUCCCUGGAGGGCCUCAUCCCUGAAGAUAAGGUUGUGCUUCUGGCAGGUUCUCCCUUACAGAAUGAAGCCACCCUGGGUCAGUGUGGGGUGGAAGCCCUGACAACCCUGGAAGUGGUUGGCCGCAGGCUAGGAGGUAAUAACUGCCUCUCACUGCAAGUCAACCCUGUACAACCAGCCAGAUAUUUGUGGACAACACUUCACAGCUCAAAACAAGGUGAACCUAACUCCUCAGCAAACCACAGAUGCUCCUGAAAGUCUCCAAGGCCAGAAGAAAACCCCUAAACAUAUACCACACUGUGGCAACUGUAGCCUAGAAGGUAACGAAUGAAGAACACAGCAAAUAUCUGAGAGUUGCUGCCUGAAGACACAGGACAAUGACCUCAGAAGGAUGGGGAUGGGCUGGAAAACCUCUGGUCUCUACCCUCCUUACAGCUGUGAUUUGCUUCUCCCUAGGAAGGUCCUGCUUCCAUGCUUCUCCCCAUACCCCACUCACUUGAGUGUCUCACACGGGAUGGUAACUAGAUGUAACACUUGCCAAGGGGUCAUUAUCACCUACUAAAUACAAAUAGAUGUCUAGCUUGUCUGUCCACAGAGAGGUGAAUGAUGAGAGAAUUCAAUCUCCUGGAAUCAAAAGAACUUUUUGGUGUGUAUUCUACAAAUUAAAAACUCAAUGACCAGCCGGGCAUGGUGACUCACGCCUGUAAUCCUAGCACUUUGGGAGGCUGAGGCAGGCAGAUUGCCUGAGCUCAAGAGUUCGAAGGCCGGGUGC
rnacentral:lncRNA from 10 species